rnacentral:snRNA from 14 species
GUGGUCGCCUCGGCAGCACGUGUCCUGGAAUUGGGAGAUACAGAGAUCAGCACGGCCCCCACACAAGGAUCACACGCAACUUGGUGAAGCAUUUCAUUAAAAAAUUUGU